AACGAACGCUGGCGGCAUGCCUAACACAUGCAAGUCGAACGAAGGCUUCGGCCUUAGUGGCGCACGGGUGCGUAACGCGUGGGAAUCUGCCCCUUGGUUCGGAAUAACAGUGAGAAAUUACUGCUAAUACCGGAUGAUGACGUAAGUCCAAAGAUUUAUCGCCGAGGGAUGAGCCCGCGUAGGAUUAGCUAGUUGGUGGGGUAAAGGCCUACCAAGGCGACGAUCCUUAGCUGGUCUGAGAGGAUGAUCAGCCACACUGGGACUGAGACACGGCCCAGACUCCUACGGGAGGCAGCAGUGGGGAAUAUUGGACAAUGGGCGAAAGCCUGAUCCAGCAAUGCCGCGUGAGUGAUGAAGGCCUUAGGGUUGUAAAGCUCUUUUACCCGGGAUGAUAAUGACAGUACCGGGAGAAUAAGCUCCGGCUAACUCCGUGCCAGCAGCCGCAGUAACAC
rnacentral:rRNA from 1 species